rnacentral:pre_miRNA from 11 species
ACAUAGAAAACUUAGUUCUUCAGAUUCAAUAUGGCACUUCAUAUUGAAUCUGAAGAACUAAGUUUUCUAUGU